UUUAGCUCGUAAAUAGAAUAUGUCGAAAUGUCUCGGCAAUUACGGAUGUUUUGUACAUAGCAAUCAGUUCAUUCGAUAUUCAGAGAACGUAAGACUCACGCGCCAACUCUUGAGAAGCUUGGAAGCCCAAGAUCUCCCUUUCUGGAAGAUCAUUUCCAGUUUCCAUUUGCGAAGUUCCGCCAGCAGCCUGUCGCGCCACAUUUCAAUAACUGCCAAUGGAAAACGACGUGAGGUAAUAGCAACGAGAGGAUUGGAAUCGAAUAAAUCGGUCAGGUUCAAGGAAACUGUCGUUAACAUGAACAACGAUCGAUCAAUGAUCUAGGAAUACUUGGAAAACAAUUAAUUGAAUAUUCAUUUAUUAACGUUAAUAUAUUUUUUAUACUUUUUGUUAUCAUUCUACAUUAAUAAAUUGAGAUAAGUUAAUUUAAAAAGUAAUAGAAUUAAUGAAAUAUAUAUCUCAAUUUUUAAUCCAGAUAGUUGAACAAGAACAUUGAUUAUUCAUUCUAUUUGUGAUUCUUGAAUGUAAUAUGAGUUAUAUUAGAAGAAUCUGAUAUUUUGGUAAAGGAUAUCUUGUAAGGAUAUCUAUAUUUGAUGAACAUCUCUACUAAUUGAAUGCAAAACUUUGAAUUUAUUGUAUAUUGGCGUGGGAUAUAAUAUUUAGGUCAAAUUUCUAUUGCAAUCUCAUACAAACAAAAAGUACAAAUCAAGGAAAGCCACAAUCUCCAACCAAACCAAAAUAUGCAACAACAUCUCACAUCUAUACAUUAUAUCUCUAUAUUACUGCAAAUAGAAAUAUUUUUCAAAAAUUCAAAUGCCAUUACAAGAUCAAUAAAACAUGUAAUUCAAGACUUUCGCACAGUGCAGUAUCUAAACCGGUAAUACAUUCGCACCUUCCUUAAGACCUCGUUCGAAUCCUAAUUACAUUCCAAUUGCAACGGGCACUAUAAUUCAAACGAAACUACCAUGCAUAUCUUCCACAUCACGUAAGCGCAAACCAAUCCCACGCACCAGGGUGCGUAGUACCGGUAAUCGACAGUGGCCUUUAUUGAUUUUUCAUUUCCCAGCCAAUUCAAUUAUCUGGCAGGAGAGGACAAUUGGAUUAAUUCGGGCCCUUAAUUCCCUCGCUUCCAACAAUUGAGUUAGAUGGCUUGAUUCCAAACGUUAUUUGUCUCGACCGUCGUAUUAAAAACCGUUACGCACUGUCGGCCACUUACCAGGUGAUGACCAGGUCAUUGGAUUCAAGAAAAUGUAUUGUGCCUCACAAUAAGUUUCAUGGAGCAUUAUAGAGACACGAGGACACAGAAUCUCUUGCGAAGCAUUCACAACACGCAUUUGAUAUCAAUUGACUAUUACUAAAAUAUGCAAAGAUGCAAAGAAUUAACGAUGAUGAUAAUGAAAUGUAUUAUUGAAUCAAAUGAAAGAAAUCUCGCAUUUAUUUUUAUCUUAUUUUAUUUAUUUAAUUACUAAUUAAGGUUAAAGGCAUAGGAUGUUCUCAUUUCACAAUCAUCGAUGACCGAUUGAAAUGUGAGAUAAACACGAAAAAUUCGUACUUACUUGGAACGAGACCAUUCCCCUAACCAGACUUCCUCGACCAAACGAAUAAAUACCCUCGAAUUACACGGGCCAUUACUCUAUGAGUUUAUUUAGCAACAGAGAAUCCCAUAGAACAACAGAACGGAAGGCCAUUACAUGCUUCCUCCAAUUAGGAGAACUCUUGCCGUCGAUCAAGUUACACAGCCAAGUUUUGAGGAUACAUUUUCAAAACAUUCGCAACGAUGGAUGAAUCCUAUACGCUUAACCAUCAUCACUCUGAUUUUUGUGAAUUUGUCCAUAAACGUAACAC